rnacentral:rRNA from 1 species
AUGUCCGGGGUCAAGUGCUAUAACUGCAACGAGAUGGGUCACUUUGCAAAGGAUUGUCCGGAGCCUAACAAAAGGGAGAUCAAGGCAAAUUUGGCGAAGCAGGAAGACGAACAUCCAGGUCUUCUAAUUGCUGAAGUUUGUGAUCUCAUGGAGCCUAACAAGCGGGAGAUCAAGGCAAAUUUGGCGAAGCAGGAAGAUGAACGUCCAGGUCUUCUGAUGGCCAAAGUUUGUGAUCUCGUCCAAACAGCAGUUGUGAAACCAAACCGGAAGGUGCUACUUCAUGAGGAAAAGGUAACAGCAAAGUUAUCCGGGAGCCAGGACGUGCUGUGGUAUCUAGACACGAGUGCCAAUAACCACAUGACGGGGUGCAAGGAGAAGUUCCUCGAGCUAGAAUAUGAUGUUCAAGGCUUGGUCAAGUUCGGUGAUGGUUCAAAUGUGGAGAUUUGCGGCAAGGUUCUGUCCUCUUCGAGGGUCUCACAGGAGAACAUUGCAUACUCACCGGAGUGUACUACAUCCCACGGCUUCGCAACAACAUCAUCUCUUUCGGGAAACUUGACGAGAAUGGAUGCAAGGUGGAUAUUGAGAACGGAGUGA